AUUGAACGCUGGCGGCAGGCUUAACACAUGCAAGUCGAGCGGAGAUGAGGUGCUUGCACCUUAUCUUAGCGGCGGACGGGUGAGUAAUGCUUAGGAAUCUGCCUAUUAGUGGGGGACAACAUUCCGUAAGGAAUGCUAAUACCGCAUACGUCCUACGGGAGAAAGCAGGGGAUCUUCGGACCUUGCGCUAAUAGAUGAGCCUAAGUCGGAUUGGCUAGUUGGUGGGGUAAAGGCCUACCAAGGCGACGAUCUGUAGCGGGUCUGAGAGGAUGAUCCGCCACACUGGGACUGAGGCACGGCCCAGACUCCUACGGGAGGCAGCAGUGGGGAAUAUUGGACAAUGGGGGAAGCCCUGAUCCAGCCAUGCCGCGUGUGUGAAGAAGGCCUUAUGGUUGUAAAGCACUUUAAGCGAGGAGGAGGCUACUGAGACUAAUACUCUUGGAUAGUGGACGUUACUCGCAGAAUAAGCACCGGCUAACUCUGUGCCAGCAGCCGCGGUAA
rnacentral:rRNA from 1 species